CCGGGGCCCGGCCGAAAAUUUCGGCCCCCCUUUUAGGAAAAAAGGGGAAGGGGUUGGAAUUCCCCCAGGGCCCCCAACCAAAGGGGGGUUUUUUCCCCCCCCCCCUUAAACGGGGGCCCUUAACCCUUUUUGGUUGAGUUUGAUCCUGGCUCAGAACGAACGCUGGCGGCAGGCUUAACACAUGCAAGUCGAACGUGAAGCAGGAGCUUGCUCCUGUGGAAAGUGGCAGACGGGUGAGUAACGCGUGGGAAUUUACCCAGUGGUUCGGAAUAACGCAUGGAAACGUGUGCUAAUACCGAAUACGCCCUCCGGGGGAAAGAUUUAUCGCCAUUGGAUGAGCCCGCGUCGGAUUAGCUAGUUGGUGAGGUAAAAGCUCACCAAGGCGACGAUCCGUAGCUGGUCUGAGAGGAUGAUCAGCCACACUGGGACUGAGACACGGCCCAGACUCCUACGGGAGGCAGCAGUGGGGAAUAUUGCGCAAUGGAGGAAACUCUGACGCAGCCAUGCCGCGUGAGUGAAGAAGGCCUUAGGGUUGUAAAACUCUUUCGCUAGGGAAGAUAAUGACGGUACCUAGUAAAGAAGCCCCGGCCAACUCCGUGCCAGCAGCCGCGGUAAUACGGAGGGGGCUAGCGUUGUUCGGAAUUACUGGGCGUAAAGCGCGCGUAGGCGGGCUGGUUAGUUGGGGGUGAAAUCCCAGGGCUCAACCCUGGAACUGCCCUCCAUACUGCCAGUCUUGAGUUCGAGAGAAGUAAGUGGAAUUCCUAGUGUAGAGGUGAAAUUCGUAGAUAUUAGG
rnacentral:rRNA from 1 species